rnacentral:rRNA from 1 species
UGCCUACGGGACGCAGCAGUAGGGAAUCUUCCACAAUGGGCGAAAGCCUGAUGGAGCAACGCCGCGUGGGUGAAGAAGGUCUUCGGAUCGUAAAACCCUGUUGUUAGAGAAGAAAGAGCGUGAGAGUAACUGUUCACGUUUCGACGGUAUCUAACCAGAAAGCCACGGCUAACUACGUGCCAGCAGCCGCGGUAAUACGUAGGUGGCAAGCGUUAUCCGGAUUUAUUGGGCGUAAAGAGAACGCAGGCGGUCUUUUAAGUCUGAUGUGAAAGCCUUCGGAUUAACUGGAGUAGUGCAUUGGGAAG